rnacentral:rRNA from 1 species
GAGUUUGAUCAUGGCUCAGGAUGAACGCUGGCGGCGUGCCUAACACAUGCAAGUCGAGCGAUUUACUUCGGUAAAGAGCGGCGGACGGGUGAGUAACGCGUGGGUAACCUGCCUCAUACACAUGGAUAACAUACCGAAAGGUAUGCUAAUACAGGAUAAUAUAAGAGAUUCACAUGGAUUUCUUAUCAAAGCUCCGGCGGUAUGAGAUGGACCCGCGUCUGAUUAGCUAGUUGGUAAGGUAAUGGCUUACCAAGGCGACGAUCAGUAGCCGACCUGAGAGGGUGAUCGGCCACAUUGGAACUGAGACACGGUCCAAACUCCUACGGGAGGCAGCAGUGGGGAAUAUUGCACAAUGGGCGAAAGCCUGAUGCAGCAACGCCGCGUGAGUGAUGAAGGCCUUCGGGUCGUAAAACUCUGUCCUCAAGGAAGAUAAUGACGGUACUUGAGGAGGAAGCCCCGGCUAACUACGUGCC